CAUUCUAUUUAUAGCAUGAUAGAGAUAUGCGGCAAGUACACAAAGUGAGUUUUUCGUGCAAAUUGCCCCGAAAAAUAGCAUCAUCGAUUACAUUUGCGGCUUGGUCAUCCUAUUAAUAGGGUGAUAGUGUGACUUAGCGCGCAAACGAGCGGGCGGGUAAACCGGAGGGAGGAAUUCAAUGAAAUCGUCUUGGUCCAGAAUAUUGCUAGCGGUCCUGUCA
rnacentral:misc_RNA from 1 species